UCUCACUCUUCUCAACGGGGAUGUCGUUGAGCAACAGGAUGAGGAAGACCUUGAUGACGGCUCUCUGAACCACACUACCUUGAAGCGAGAGCAGAAGAACACAUGCAGGACAAUCUGACUGCUGCUGUGUCUGCUCCAAACAAUCGUGUGCUGCUCUCCAUGAGCACCACUACCUGUAAAACAUUUACACAGAGUUUACAAGUCCUGCUCCACCACAAAAGAUCUGCAGCAAAUGCACAGAAAACAACAAUAAGAAAAGUGCUUUUAACGGCGGUUGGCAUCCAGCUUAUUGGUGCAAUACCGCCCUCUUCUGUCCCGGAGUGUGGAUCAGAUAAUAGGUUUUCCUACUAAAGGUACGCAUCACUCACAUUGUCCACUACCAUUAAUAUCUACACACACCUUAUGCAUCAAAUCCUGCCUAAAACCCCUGCUUUCCUUAAAAAACGUAAUCAAUAUUCUACCCUGUGCCCUACUGAAAGCAGCCAACAACUUAUCAUUUUGACAUCUCGCGUGAUUCUGUGAGAUUUCGACAACUUCAAGUUACGCCUCCUACUUCAAGUUACGCC
ensembl:lncRNA